rnacentral:rRNA from 1 species
UUCGGGGUGACGAUUGUUGACUGAGUGGCGGACGGGUGAGUAACGCGUGGGUAACCUGCCUUGUACAGGGGGACAACAGUUGGAAACGACCUGCUAAUACCGCAUAAGCGCACAGCUUCGCAUGAAGCAGUGUGAAAAGUAUUUUCGGACAAGAGUGGACCCCGCGUCUGAUUAGCUAGUUGGUGAGGUAACGGCCCACCAAGGCGACGAUCAGUAGCCGACCUGAGAGGGUGACCGGCCACAUUGGGACUGAGACACGGCCCAAACUCCUACGGGAGGCAGCAGUGGGGAAUAUUGCACAAUGGGCGAAAGCCUGAUGCAGCCGACGCCGCGUGAGCGAAGAAGUAUUUCGGUAUGUAAAGCUCUAUCAGCAGGGAAGAUAAUGACGGUACCUGACUAAGAAGCACCGGCUAAAUACGUGCCAGCCGCAGC